rnacentral:rRNA from 1 species
GCGGCAUGCCUUACACAUGCAAGUCGAACGGCAGCAUGACGUGUAGCAAUACACGUUGAUGGCGAGUGGCGAACGGGUGAGUAAUAUAUCGGAACGUGCCCUGUAGCGGGGGAUAACCUAUCGAAAGAUGGACUAAUACCGCAUACGCUCUACGGAGGAAAGCGGGGGUCGCAAGACCUCGCACUAUAGGAGCGGCCGAUAUCGGAUUAGCUAGUUGGCGGGGUAAAAGCCCACCAAGGCGACGAUCCGUAGCUGGUCUGAGAGGAUGAUCAGCCACACUGGAACUGAGACACGGUCCAGACUCCUACGGGAGGCAGCAGUGGGGAAUUUUGGACAAUGGGCGCAAGCCUGAUCCAGCCAUGCCGCGUGAGUGAAGAAGGCCUUCGGGUUGUAAAGCUCUUUCGGCAGGAACGAAAUGGUUCGUGCUAAUACCACGGACUGAUGACGGUACCUGAAGAAGAAGCACCGGCUAACUACGUGCCAGCAGCCGCGGUAAUACGUAGGGUGCAGGCGUUAAUCGGAAUUACUGGGCGUAAAGCGUGCGCAGGCGGUUUCUUAAGUCAGAUGUGAAAGCCCCGGGCUUAACCUGGGAACUGCGUUUGAAACUGGGAGACUUGAGUGUGGCAGAGGGGGGUGGAAUUCCACGUGUAGCAGUGA